UUUCCGAGGGCUCUGAUGUCCGAUUUUUUGUCGAGAUUUUCUGCAGUUUCUUCAGAAAAGUUUCCGAGUAAUCUGCACAUACUCGUUUCUUUUGUUUUGUUUGAACAAACAAAGCUAAAGAGAAAAAAAAAACAGCGUAUACAGAGAGUUAACUCUUUUUUUGGCGUGAAUUUCUAAUGUUACUCCAGAAAAGUUUCCGAGUAAUCUGCACAUACUCGUUUCUUUUGUUCCAUUUGAAAAAAAAAAACACAAAAAUUAGCAGAGAGUUAACUUUUUUCUGUUGAGAUUUAUUUUACCUUUCCUUUCGAAAAGUUUCCGAGUACUCUGCACAUGCUCGGUUGAAAUUAUUUGAAGAAUUUUGUGCAUACAACUUUUUUGUUUUUUUUUUUUUUUUUUUUUUUUUUUGAUUAUGAUCAGUUUGUCGUCAGAAUUUGAACGGAGCACGAGUGCAGUGUGUUGCAGUGAAAAGUUAAAAUGAAAAUUAAAGGAAGAUUUGGACCUUAAGUACCUUAUGCUACGCCGUUUAAAAAAUCAACGCCAUGACAAUGUAAACACUUUUACAUAUGAUUUUUCAAACUGACGAGGUCAACGUUUUCGUGGCACGAUAUGUACCAAAAUACAGCUGUAAAGGACAUCUAUUUUAUUAGGCUCGUUAAAGAUGCGGCAUUGAAACAUAUUCCGGGAGCUAUGGGAAGUACCAUAUAAAACAUUUCUUCAACUCGGCUAAAGGUAGGCUUAACAAACCUUAAGCUGGGCCAAAAUCGAAGUAUUUCCACCCUUAAUUAUAUUGAUUUAGAUUGAAUUGCAACUUUUGAUGUUUUUUAUAUAUUAAUUUCCGUAUUCCUUAUAUUUUACAAAAAAAAAAAAAAAUGAAUACAAAUGUUCUGUCAUUAAAUUGAAAAAUAUAAACAUAAUCAAUUAUCUAAAAACUAGAUAAAGUUUUAUUAUUUCGGAUUUUCGAUUACAACUAUAGAAUAAAUUUAGAUUUUUUUGCGAAUUUCGUAUCAAACAUCCUAUUAUUUUCCGAUUUUAGAAUGAAUUAUUCGAUUUUUUUCCGAUUUUCGGAUAAAACUAUAGAAUAAAUUCAGAUAUUUUUCCGAAUUUCGAAUCAAACAUCCGAAAUUUUUCAGAAUCUCGGAUCAAACAUCCGAUACUUUUCCGAAUAUCGCAUCAAACAUCCCAUAUUUCUCCGAUUUUCCGAUAAAACUAUAGAACAAAUUCAGAAUUUUUCCGAAUUUCGUAUCAAACAUCCGAAAAUUUUCCGAAUUUCGUAUCAAACAUCCUAUAUCUCUCCGAAUUUUCCUUUUUUCUUUGCCGAAUUCUAUACGAAUUCGACCCGAAACUCUUACGUUCUUUCAGAAUUUUUUCCGCAAAAUCUUUCAGAAUCUUGGGCAAUCUCACACAAUUUUCUUCCGAUUUCUUUCCGAAUUCGACAUCAGAGUCGGAAACUUGUGCAGAGUUUUUUUCCGAAUUCGGAAGAAAAUCGGAA